GCCGGGCACAGUGGCACGCGCCUGUAGUCCCAGCUACUCGGGAGGCUGAGGUGGGAGGAUCGCUUGAGUCCAGGAGUUCUGGGCUGCAGUGUGCUAUGCCGAUCGGGUGUCCGCACUAAGUUCGGCAUCAAUAUGGUGACCUCCCCGGAGCAGGGGACCACCAGGUUGCCUAAGGAGGGGUGAACCGGCCCAGGUCGGAAAUGGAGCAGGUCAAAACUCCCGUGCUAAAGAACAGUUAAGUAUUUAUUACCUUAGGAUUAAAAUGCUUCCUAGACAGCCAAAUGAGAAUUCAA
rnacentral:SRP_RNA from 1 species